UAACGUGUGAAACACAGCUGGGGAAAAAAUAUGCCAGGAAAUAGAGAAUUAUUGCCUCAAACACAGAGGAGAGACUCAUUCAUGGUGACAUCAUAAAGGGGCCGGUGAGUGGAGGGAAGCUAAGGAGCGAAGGAACUGAAGAAUAAAAACAGUUCUCGUAUCAAAGCAUUCUGGUUUUGGAAGAGGCGGCUAGAGAAAUGUGGAAAGUGUUUCCUGGGGAUAUAAUUGACUUUGAAGCUAAAACUACAGAGAGCCUCCGGCAGCCAGAUCAAGACUCCGUCACGCUGAGAUGUAACCUUCCACACUGAUUAAUCACAGGGAGGUACAUGAAGACUUCUCGUCUCUCUUUUCACGACGAUAUACUCGAUGGCCAUUAUUGGCAAAGUGGCAAUACUCUAAUUCUGCCAUUCACUCUUCGGUCACUAGCGAGAAGAGGCCCACAAAGAAAGAAAACCAUCUCACCGAGUCGUACUGAUCCUGUGGUAUAGUUCCUACAUGGAAGGCAAUAAAUUUGUUUUGUUUCCCCUA